rnacentral:rRNA from 1 species
GACGAACGCUGGCGGCGUGCUUAACACAUGCAAGUCGAACGGUAAGGCCCUUCGGGGUACACGAGUGGCGAACGGGUGAGUAACACGUGGGUGAUCUGCCCUGCACUUCGGGAUAAGCCUGGGAAACUGGGUCUAAUACCGGAUAGGACCACUGCCUGCAUGGGUGGUGGUGGAAAGCUUUUGCGGUGUGGGAUGGGCCCGCGGCCUAUCAGCUUGUUGGUGGGGUGAUGGCCUACCAAGGCGACAACGGGUAGCCGGCCUGAGAGGGUGACCGGCCACACUGGGACUGAGAUACGGCCCAGACUCCUACGGGAGGCAGCAGUGGGGAAUAUUGCACAAUGGGCGCAAGCCUGAUGCAGCGACACCGCGUGAGGGAUGACGGCCUUCGGGUUGUAAACCUCUUUCAGCACCGACGAAGCGCAAGUGACGGUAGGUGCAGAAGAAGGACCGGCCAACUACGUGCCAGCCGCCGCAGUAA